rnacentral:rRNA from 1 species
GUGUUGUUUGUUAAGGGCACACGGUGGAUGCCUUGGCAUUAUGAGCCGAUGAAGGACGUGUAAGGCCGCGAUAGGCCUCGGGGAGUUGCCAAUAGAGCGUUGAUCCGAGGGUGUCCGAAUGGGGAAACCUGGCCAUGGUUAUGUGUGGUUACCCAUCAGUGAAUUCAUAGCUGGUGUGGGGGUGACGCGGGGAAGUGAAACAUCUCAGUACCCGUAGGAGAAGAAAAUAAUUAAUGAUUCUGCUAGUAGUGGCGAACGAACGUGGAUGAGGCUAAACCGUAUGCGUGUGAUACCUGGCAGGGGUUGCGUGUGUGGUGUUGUGGGGCGUUGUUGGAGGAGGCUGCCGGCUCCUCGCUUGUUAUAUGUGUGUGUUAGCGGAAGUGGUUUGGAAUGGCCUGCCGUAGUGGGUGAGAGUCCCGUACGUGAAAACAUGUGCAUGCGAGUGGAUGAUGUUCCCGAGUAGCAGCGGGCUCGUGGAAUCUGCUGUGAAUCUGCCGGGACCACCCGGUAAGCCUAAAUACUUAUGAUGACCGAUAGCGGAUAGUACCGUGAGGGAAUGGUGAAAAGUACCCCGGGAGGGGAGUGAAAUAGUACCUGAAACCGUGUGCUUACAAUCCGUCAGAGCCUUGUUGUUAGGUGAUGGCGUGCCUUUUGAAGAAUGAGCCUGCGAGUCAGCGGCAUGUCGCGAGGUUAACCCGUGUGGGGUAGUCGUAGCGAAAGCGAAUCCUAAUGAGGGUGUUUUUAAGUGGCAUGUCCUGGACCCGAAGCGGGGUGAUCUACCCAUGGCCAGUGUGAAGCAGCUGUAAGAGGUUGUGGAGGCGCGAACCCACUUAGGUUGAAAACUGAGGGGAUGAGCUGUGGGUAGGGGUGAAAGGCCAAUCAAACUCCGUGAUAGCUGGUUCUCCCCGAAAUGCAUUUAGGUGCAGCGUUGUGUGUUUCUUGCUGGAGGUAGAGCUACUGGUUGGUUGAGCGGGACUACAAUCUUAGCAAUGUCAGCCAAACUCCGAAUGCCGGUAAUGUUAAGCAUGGCAGUGAGACUGCGGGGGAUAAGCUCCGUUGGUCGAGAGGGAAACAGCCCAGAUCGCCGGUUAAGGCCCCUAAGGGUGUACUAAGUGGAAAAGGAUGUGGGAUCGCGAAGACAGCCAGGAGGUUGGCUUAGAAGCAGCCAUCCUUGAAAGAGUGCGUAAUAGCUCACUGGUCGAGUGGUUCUGCGCCGACAAUGUAGUGGGGCUCAAGUACACCGCCGAAGCCGCGGCAGUCAGCAAUUUUUUUGUUGGUUGGGUAGGGGAGCGUCGUGCACUGCUGUGAAGCACCUGGGUGACUUGAUGGUGUGGAGUGUGUGCGAGUGAGAAUGCAGGCAUGAGUAACGAAUGAAAAGUGGAAAACUUUUCCGCCGGAUGACUAAGGGUUCCUGGGUUAAGCUAAUCUUCCCAGGGUGAGUCGGGACCUAAGGCGAGGCCGACAGGCGUAGUCGAUGGAUAACCAGUUGAUAUUCUGGUACCCGUGUAUGUGCGCCCAGUGGUGAAUCAGUGGUACUAACCAUCCAUUGAUCUGCUGGUCAUGCUUUGUGUGUGGUUGGUGGUGAUGUGCGUGGGAUCUUCGUUGGUAGUAGCCAAGUGAUGGGGUGACGCAGUGAGGUAGCUGAGCCAUUUAUUGGAUUGUGGUGUAAGCGUGUGGCCCGUGGCAUAGGUAAAUCCGUGUCGCAUAUUUGGGUGAGGCGUGAUGCGUAGACCUUUGUGGUUGAUGUUGGUGAUCCUGUACUGUCGAGAAAAGCCUCUAGCGAGUGCAUAUAUGGCCCGUACCCAUAACCGACACAGGUGGUCAGGUAGAGAAUACUAAGGCGAUCGGGUGAACUGUGGUUAAGGAACUCGGCAAAUUGCCCCCGUAACUUCGGGAGAAGGGGGACCAUUGCUGGUGACCGACGUGGUUGAGCUGGUGGUGGUCGCAGAGAAUAGAGGGAAGCGACUGUUUAUUAAAAACACAGGUCCGUGCGAAAACGUGGAAGUUGAUGUAUACGGACUGACGCCUGCCCGGUGCUGGAAGGUUAAGAGGACCUGUUAGGGCAUUUUUUGUCCGAAGCGGAGAAUUUAAGCCCCAGUAAACGGCGGUGGUAACUAUAACCAUCCUAAGGUAGCGAAAUUCCUUGUCGGGUAAGUUCCGACCUGCACGAAUGGCGUAACGACUUCCCUGCUGUCUCAACCACAGGCCCGGUGAAAUUGCAGUACGAGUAAAGAUGCUCGUUACGCGCGGCAGGACGAAAAGACCCCGGGACCUUCACUAUAGCUUGGUAUUGGUGUUUGGUUCGGUUUGUGUAGGAUAGGUGGGAGACUGUGAAGUGGUCACGCUAGUGGUUGUGGAGUCGAAAGUUGAAAUACCACUCUGAUCGGAUUGAGCACCU